GACGAACGCUGGCGGCGUGCUUAACACAUGCAAGUCGAACGGAAAGGCCCUGCUUUUGUGGGGUGCUCGAGUGGCGAACGGGUGAGUAACACGUGAGUAACCUGCCCUUGACUUUGGGAUAACUUCAGGAAACUGGGGCUAAUACCGGAUAGGAGCUCCUGCUGCAUGGUGGGGGUUGGAAAGUUUCGGCGGUUGGGGAUGGACUCGCGGCUUAUCAGCUUGUUGGUGGGGUAGUGGCUUACCAAGGCUUUGACGGGUAGCCGGCCUGAGAGGGUGACCGGCCACAUUGGGACUGAGAUACGGCCCAGACUCCUACAGGAGGCAGCAGUGGGGAAUAUUGCACAAUGGGCGGAAGCCUGAUGCAGCAACGCCGCGUGCGGGAUGACGGCCUUCGGGUUGUAAACCGCUUUCGCCUGUGACGAAGCGUGAGUGACGGGAAUGGGUAAAGAAGCACCGGCUAACUACGU
rnacentral:rRNA from 1 species